UGCCAACACACUCUGCUUCCACAAGAAAAAUAUGCCAGCAUGUAUGACAAAAUCUGCAAAGGAAGGCGAGUGUGGACAAGUGGCACAAGACCCUGAAGCAAUGAAACAGAGUAGGUGCAGACUCAAACACCUCUCAGAGAGUGGGACACAAAAAAUACUGGACAAGACAUGGAACCAAGCAGUGAAGUCAAUUCUGGGUCAUGAAUAUGGGUUUUCCCAGGCCCAUGAAAACCUGUCCAGAGUAACCAGUUCAUAAGUUACCUCCUGACUUACCUGCUGUUUGAAGAGGGACAUACAGACUGCAGGAGAAAUUAGGGAACCUAAUUUAAGCUCUCAAUUCACAAGCUGACCGUGGAGUGGCCUGGGUUGUGAAGGGAAAAUCAGCAAGAACAGGAUCCCUAGGCAGAUGUAGCAGUGUGAUGCCUGUGAAGUCUUGUCCUUACUCUCAGUGGGAUUCUUCCUUCCCUGGGAAAACCUCAAGGUGACUGGCAUUUUCUCAGCACUGGCUCUUUUCUUACCCUUAGAGCUUCCUAAACCUUAACUGAAGGUGUGGGCACUGCUGGAUGGAUGAAAUCAAAGUCUCUGGAAAGCAAAAGAAAACCCAAAAAACAAAGGAGUUUAAAGACCUGAAACUUCUGCGAUAUCAACAUGUUCAGAAGCAAUUUCUGUUCAAAGUUCACAGCACUGCAGAGCAAUCUGAUUCUUAUCCAUUUUGAGUCACUACCCAUUGCCCCCAGCAUUGUCUGCAUAGAAACAGUAGGUAUCACUUCUCUAAAAUCCUGUGUCCCAUAAAAGGGCAUAGAACUAGAUACACUAUUCUCAAAAAAAUAAAAUAAAAUAAUCCCACAAGAAUUGAAAGGAGGGGAAUAAAAAAAAAAAAAAA